GACGAACGCUGGCGGCGUGCCUAAUACAUGCAAGUAGAACGCUGAAGGAGUAGCUUGCUUCUCUGGAUGAGUUGCGAACGGGUGAGUAACGCGUAGGUAACCUGCCUGGUAGCGGGGGAUAACUAUUGGAAACGAUAGCUACUACCGCAUAAGAGUAGAUGUUGCAUGACAUUUGCUUAAAAGUUGCAAUUGCAUCACUACCAGAUGCACCUGCGUUGUAUUAGCUAGUUGGUGGGGUAAAGGCUUACCAAGGCGACGGUACAUAGCCGAGCUGAGAGGGUGGACGGCCCACAUGGGAACGGAGCACGGGCCCGGCCUCCAACGGAGGCAGCAGUAGGGAAUCAUUGGCAAUGGGCGGAAGGCUGAAUGAGGCAAGCCGGGGGAGUUGAGGAGGGUCUCGGAGCGGAAAGGCCUGUUGUUAGAGAAGAACGAGUGGGAGAGUAGAACGUUCACGCUGUGACGGUAUCUUACCAGAAAGCGACGGCUAACUACGUG
rnacentral:rRNA from 1 species